rnacentral:snRNA from 1 species
AUGCUCUCUUUGGUAGCACAUAUACCAAAAUUGGAACGAUUCAGAGAUUGGCAUAGCCCGUGGGCAAGGGACAUGCAAACCAGCAGAUUUUCCUCAUGGUCUU